GGGCCCGCACAAGCGGUGGAGCAUGUGGUUUAAUUCGAUGCAACGCGAAGAACCUUACCAGGUCUUGACAUCCUCGGAACUUGGCAGAGAUGCCUUGGUGCCUUCGGGAGCCGAGUGACAGGUGCUGCAUGGCCGUCGUCAGCUCGUGUCGUGAGAUGUUGGGUUAAGUCCCGUAACGAGCGCAACCCUUGUCCUUAGUUGCCAGCACGUCAUGGUGGGAACUCUAGGGAGACUGCCGGUGACAAACCGGAGGAAGGCGGGGACGACGUCAAGUCAUCAUGGCCCUUACGACCAGGGCUACACACGUGCUACAAUGGUAGGUACAGAGGGCAGCUACACAGCGAUGUGAUGCGAAUCUCAAAAAGCCUAUCGUAGUCCAGAUUGGAGUCUGCAACUCGACUCCAUGAAGUAGGAAUCGCUAGUAAUCG
rnacentral:rRNA from 1 species